CGAGUGACGUCAGGGAGCCGCGCGACAACGUGGGCCGCUCUAGUCUCCAGGCGGCGGUGCUCAGUGGUCGGUUACUGAGGGGCCUUGUGGCAACAAGGUGACAUAGGACAAACAGCACUCAGGUGAGCACCUGGAAAAGGCUGUUGAAGCACACAGGCACUAGAACUACUUUAUGAGCAUAAUUCCUUGGACCAUAAUCGUCACCUGAGGAAGCCGCGUGAGACACCAGUCUUAGGAUUCCAAAGUGAAGAGGAACGUGCCCUCCUCGAUGAACGCCUGUGGAAGCCUUUGAGCAGCCCUUUCAUGGCGGAAGAGAGGGCAACUCUGAGGUGAUGGAGCAGCGGCUAGGCAGAGGGCUGCUGAGGAAGCAGAGGGAGGAUCGCUUCAGCUCUCGGCAGGCUGGAGCCUCAGAGCAAACCUCAAGUAACUUUCUGUGGAUGCUGUGAGGAGGGCUGCUGGAGAGAUGACUGAGCAGUUAAGAGCACUUGUUGCUCUUGGCAGACGACCUGGCUUCUAGUCCUAGCACCACAUGGAGGCUGACCGCCAUCUGUAACUCUUCUUCUGACUAUGAAGAUACUGUGCAUACAUUGGCAUAUACACAAUCACAGGCAAAGCAUUCAGAUUCAAAAUAAAUGUCUAGAAAAGUUGCUGGCAUUUUUA
rnacentral:lncRNA from 1 species